UUUGCAUGGUGCUACCACUGUCUGUAACUGCUCUCCCUGGAGAAAUAUUGCCUAAUUUCUGGAAAAGCGAUCUCAGAAAGGAGCAGACAGUUCUGCAGUUGCGUUAUAGAUUUGAAGGAUGUAUUCAGGCUGUCAAACUGACGUGAAAAAAAUAAAGACAGAAACUAAAGCCUACCGAUCACAGAGUAAAAGUGAACCACCGCAUGACCUGACUAUUGAGAAAGAGGACAACAAUAUGAGGGAUUAACACUUUUCCUGCAAAGCUGGGUUCCCUUGAUGUCUCUCCCAAACCAAAAAGCCUUGCAGGGUGCCUCCAGAAAUGUUCCUUCAGUCACAGGGAGGCCCGUCACGGGUCCCCUACGCAAGGUCACCAUGUUUGAAUGCUGUCACCUCCACUUAGAGCCAGGCAAAGCAACAGACCUCUCCCUGUAGCCUCCUCCUAACCUGUCACAGAAACUACAGUUAUAAUCACUUCUGGCUUGUUUUGCGAUUGACUUCAGAUACUCUUAGAUUUAUUUAUUCCAGCAUUCUUUGCCCUCUGCCUCAUUACACUAAUGUCUCGCUGUCUACAAAUGGUGUUGUUUUGUUGUAUGUGUACUGUGCACUGUAGUUUGUGUGUUCUUGUUUAGCCUGUUGUCCUGUUUGUUUCUGCUAUGUUUAUGUACACUGUGAGCUUUGUAAGACCAGAGUCAAAUUCCACGUAUGUGUACACGUACCUGGCCAUUAAAAGUGAUUCCGAUUCCGCCUUUAAUCUCUUAAUAAUUUACAUUUCUAAGCUUUAAACCAAACAUGUACAACAUCGGGUAAGUGUUUGGUUUGACUGAUAUUACAAAACAGUGCUCAAGCCAGCUAAUGAUGAAGUUUCUGCAUUCCCUUUUUGAGCCAUUGUUGUGCACAUCUGUGUUUUUGGUGGCAGCACAGGAAAAAGCCAAAGAACUCGGCAGCAUCUGCACUGUAGUACAAAUGCAAAACCCUACUAAUUAUUGGGAAAAGAUAACAUUUUAUUAAAGGGUUUUUUCCUUUGACAUAAUUUUCUAUUUUACAAGGAGAGUAUAGAUUAUAGAGUGUAGCUCAUUUAUAUCACAUGACCGAUGCAUUAAAAAAAGUAUUUUUUCU